UCUUCAUUAGCUCCUCCAGCAGCUUUCUCAGGAACAGGAAUAAAACCCUCCCCUCACUCUUUUUUCCUGCUGUGAAUUUUGCCAGACACAGCCAUGAACUUCUCGGUAACGUACAGCUCUAGGACAAAGAUGAUAAGGCCUUGUUUCUGCAUUCAUUGGGUCUUAUUUCACUACAUAUCUGUAGAGCCCUGCCUUGGGACUGCAACAGUGACAGAUGAAUGCUUUUCCAGUCAAGACACACUUUGGCACAUCUCACCACUCUGCACCAUCAGAGGCAUCAGGGGAGGCAGCAGAGAGGGGGGGAAUGAAUCCUGUCAACUGCCAUGUGCCUGCACUCACGGGCCAAAGCUGCAGAAUGGAUCCUUUCAAGGUGGAGCAGCAGAGAGCAAGUGCAUCCUGGCCCUGAGUAUAAAUCCUGGAGGAGUCCCUACACUGUGCUCCCCCUAAUUUCUUAGCCAUUAGGCAGUGAUUCUUGGAAACAUCAGCCUUUUUUAAGCGCGAAGAAUCUCCAAUCUGUGAUGCUCCUGAACACAGCAAUUACUUCUUGUAGCAUUUUCUCAUGGGGUAUGGGAGAAGGGCAUGAAAACGAGGCCCCAGGUAGAUAUUCCAUUCAAGAUUUUCAGGCAUUUUUGUGGUCAGGAAGGGAGAGGGAACUCUUGCAGUUUUCCACCAGGCAAGGACAGCUCUCUAUGGCCACAGGGCACUGCUUUUAAACCCCAUCUCAGUGGAGAGGGCGCAGCUGGUUCUACAGCCUGUCAGAACAGAAGGAGCUUGCUCAGAAAGUUAAGCCCCACCUCGACACAAGCCCAGUGGGGGCAGGUUUUCUUAAGUCCCCCUUGUCCUCAACCCAACAAUGUGAGAGAAUAAUUUCUCUACUACUCUGGCUGAGGGAGAAGGGUGGGAUUUGACAUCUACGGAUGUGACUCGGGAAGAAGUGAUGAGAAUGCAGCUGCCUCCCCCCGUGCUUCGUUGUUAUUCUUUCUCCAAAUACAAACUAAAUAUAACUUUGCCCCAUAACAUUCAAA